AAAGGAAUUGACGGAAGGGCACCACCAGGGGUGGAGCCUGCGGCUUAAUUUGACUCAACACGGGGAAACUCACCAGGUCCAGACACAAUGAGGAUUGACAGAUUGAGAGCUCUUUCUUGAUUUUGUGGGUGGUGGUGCAUGGCCGUUCUUAGUUGGUGGAGUGAUUUGUCUGCUUAAUUGCGAUAACGAACGAGACCUUAACCUGCUAAAUAGCCCGUACUGCUCCGGCAGUGCGCCGGCUUCUUAGAGGGACUAUCGGCUCAAGCCGAUGGAAGUUUGAGGCAAUAACAGGUCUGUGAUGCA
rnacentral:rRNA from 1 species